rnacentral:rRNA from 1 species
GACGAACGCUGGCGGCGUGCUUAACACAUGCAAGUCGAACGAGGUCCACCGCGUAGCAAUACAAGGGAAGACCUAGUGGCGAACGGGUGCGUAACACGUGAGGAACUUGUCCCGGUCUCUGGGAUAACAGUUGGAAACGACUGCUAAUACCGGAUGACGUCGGAGCAUCGCAUGGUGCGCUGACGAAAGGGUUACUGGAUCGGGAGAGCCUCGCGGCCUAUCAGCUUGUUGGUGGGGUAACGGCCUACCAAGGCAUCGACGGGUAGCUGGUCUGAGAGGAUGAUCAGCCACACUGGGACUGAGACACGGCCCAGACUCCUACGGGAGGCAGCAGUGGGGAAUCUUGCGCAAUGGGCGAAAGCCUGACGCAGCAACGCCGCGUGCGGGAAGAAGGCCCUCGGGUUGUAAACCGCUUUCAGCAGGAACGAAAAUGACGGUACUUGCAGAAGAAGGUGCGGCCAACCACGUGCCAGCAGCCGCGGUAAU